rnacentral:rRNA from 1 species
GGUGAGUAACACGUAGGUGAUCUACCUUGAGGCCUGGGAUAGCCCUGUGGAAACACAGGGUAAGACCGGAUGAGCCCCCGUACUUGCGGGUAGAGGGGGAAAGGUGCUAUGGCACCGCCUUAAGAUGAGCCUGCCUCCCAUUAGUUAGUUGGUGGGGUAAAGGCCUACCAAGGCGACGAUGGGUAGCCGGCCUGAGAGGGUGAUCGGCCACACUGGGACUGAGACACGGCCCAGACUCCUACGGGAGGCAGCAGCUAAGAAUCUUCCGCAAUGGACGAAAGUCUGACGGAGCGACUCCGCGUGAACGAAGAAGGCCGGAAGGUUGUAAAGUUCUUUUGCGGGUGAAGAAUAAGGCGAGGAGGGAAUGCCUCGCUGAUGACGUUAGCCUGUGAAUAAGCCCCGGCUAAUUACGUGCCAGCAGCCGCGGUAACACGUAAGGGGCGAGCGUUGUUCGGAAUUAUUGGGCGUAAAGGGCGUGUAGGCUGUUUUGUAAGCCUGGUGUGAAAGUGCACGGCUUAACUGUGUAUGUGCGCUGGGAACUGCAAGACUAGAGUCCGGAAGGGGGAGGUAGAAUUCCUGGUGUAGGGGUGAAAUCUGUAGAUAUCAGGAAGAAUACCGGUGGCGAAGGCGACCUCCUGGUCCUGGACUGACGCUGAGGCGCGAAAGCGUGGGGAGCGAACAGGAUUAGAUACCCUGGUAGUCCACGCUGUAAACGAUGUGCACUAGGUGUUGGGGCAAGAGCUUCAGUGCCGAAGCGAACGCGAUAAGUGCACCGCCUGGGGAGUAUGCUCGCAAGGGUGAAACUCAAAGGAAUUGACGGGGGCCCGCACAAGCGGUGGAGCAUGUGGUUUAAUUCGAUGAUACGCGAGGAACCUUACCAGGGCUUGACAUAUACCGGGAGCCGUGAGAGAUCACGGUGCCCCUUUGGGGCCGGUAUACAGGUGCUGCAUGGCUGUCGUCAGCUCGUGCUGUGAAGUGUUGGGUUAAG